AAUCAACGCUGGCGGCGUGCCUCAGACAUGCAAGUCGAACGCGAAAGUUUCCUUCGGGAAACAAGUAGAGUGGCGCACGGGUGAGUAACACGUAGGUAAUCUACCUUUGGAUGGGGAAUAACAACCGGAAACGGUUGCUAAUACCGCAUAAUGCAGCGGCACCUAAUGGUGACAGUUGUUAAAGCGGGGGAUCGAAAGACCUCGCGUCUAAAGAGGAGCCUGCGGCGGAUUAGCUAGNGGUAAGGUAAUGGCUUACCAAGGCCACGAUCCGUAACCGGCCUGAGAGGGCGGUCGGUCACACUGACACUGACAUACGGGUCAGACUCCUACGGGAGGCAGCAGUCGGGAAUUUUGGGCAAUGGGCGAAAGCCUGACCCAGCAACGCCGCGUGAAGGAUGAAAUCCCUCGGGAUGUAAACUUCGCAAGAACGGGAAGAAUAAGUAGGGGACAAUACCCCCUAUGAUGACGGUACCGUUAGUAAGCUCCGGCUAACUCCGUGCCAGCCGCCGCCGUAAU
rnacentral:rRNA from 1 species